GAGAACAGAAAUCUCAUGUAGAACAAAAGGGUAA
rnacentral:rRNA from 1 species